UAAUUAGUUGCUGGGGCACCUGUGCCAGCAACUAUAGGUUUCGGGUGAAUUUGGUCUCCUUCUCCGUCUCCUUCUCCAUGGAUAGUCGCAAAAUGGAAAUUGCCACUGAUCUAUAUACGAAGCAAUACGUGCAUACAUUUUCGCUAUUUUAACGGUCUUAUAGUCUUCGUAAGUGUAUAAAGUGAACGUCAAAUUGUUCUUUUAAUCACGCUUUUUCUUCUGGGGGCUUUUUGAAAGAAAUCCAUCAAGAAUAUACAGAAUUAUGUCGACGUUUCACUAUCGAGGAGUGGAGUAGAUUCCGAGGUGGAUUAACUGACAAUAUUAAACUGUGUUAUUUAUUCGUCGAACCGUUAUUUCUGAACGUUUAUAUUUUUGUUUUGUGAAGUUUUACAUCUAUAUACGCUUUAAUAUGGCUUAUAGUCCUCGUUGCUCCCUGCAUAAAACUCGUAUUUGUUUACAUGUAUUGGAACUGUCAUAUUUGCAUGCUAGCUCUAUUUACAAGAAGGCUCAAAUGUUGGCUGUUUUGAAGUGACACACGAGGUACGUGACACACAAUCUUGGAUUGGUAUUUCUUAGAUAGAUAGAUGUUUUUAAUUGAUAAACCUUGCAGCCAUUGGCUGUAUUAUGUUAACAUUAAUACAUAAGGUCCACUUAUUAUUCUGGUUAUAGGACUGAACUAUUAGCUUAAAAACUCACUUGUUCAUGUUGUAAACUGCAUCAUGUAUUCAUGAUUUUUACUUGCAACUCAUUUGCUUAUUUAAUAGAUUGCAAACAGGGGUCCCCUUGUUAAAAAUUUCAUGUCAAUUGUGAAGAUUAACCUCGCAAUAUUUUUGCAGAUUGCAAAAUUUAUAAUCUAUCAGUAAUCUGUACCUUAAUUACUAUGAUCUAACCAUUUGAUGAUAUUUAUGUAGCUCUAACAUGUAAUAGCUUCAAUAUUUUGGAGUGUAUUAUUUGAUGUUAAGCCCUUUAGUUAAAAAUCACCGAUUGAAGAAUUGCUAGAACCAAAAGUGAAUACUGGAACUAUCCAUAUUUACCAUGUUGCACCCUCAAUGCCUGGUUACCCCACAUCUUGUCAUCCCCCCCCCCUCUUUGAGGGCCCUCUUUGUUAGCGAUUCAGUUCUACACCACUGACUGCUAAAUAUAAAGUUAUGUAAAACUUUAAUGCCAAUAGCUCAGGGAGUGCAGUGCUGUGGGAAGCUCUUUUUGAUUGGGGAACUGAAAGCAAUGGCCAAAGGCCCGAGGAAAGUUUUAAAUUUAGAGUCUCUGAAAUGCCAUUUCCUUAACUUUGGGAAAGAUUUGACAGAAUUCCGAUGGUCAGAAAACAGCAUUUUAGUAUGUCAAAAUUUACAAUUUCAAACAGCCCCCCCCUGGUUGCUACGGCCCUGGGGUGAAAUAUAACCACGGUCUAUCGCAUGCAUCAGUUAGGUACAAAAAGCUAAAUUCUGCACCAAUAGUCCAAUAUAUGCGAUUGUCCAUAUCAUAUAACCCUCUAAGUGGCAAUGUACCCUCAUGUGACCUACUUUAUUAUUUUACUGUGUCUAAUGCCAAGGAUUUUACUCAUCAGGGAGAGAGUGCUGUCACUCAAUGGGUUAAUUCACAAACGACUCCUUAGUCCUUAACUGUCUGAUAAACAAUUUUUGUGUUUUAAAAUUUGUUAUAAACAAGUUAAAAUAAAAAUACACAAAUCUGUAUUUAUCCUCAAAUAUGAAUAAGGGGUUGUUAUAGCCCAAGGCCCAAAUAUGUACACUUGUGCCACAGUGCCAGCACAAAAUGGGCUAUUUUGGCUUUCAAUUCUGCUGGAAUGAGGUGAUAAAUUUUUAGCUUUGGAAUUCCUCAGGGAUAAGCAAAUUUCUGUGUGGAAUUUUUUGGGGGUAAUCUGGUAAUGGCUAUUUUGAAUGAGAUUUUCUCAGAGGUCAAAUGUAAAAAUUGAAAUUCUUCCAGGGUCUCUCUUCAUGGGUAUUAACAGGAAUUCUUCAGUGGAUCUCUUUUAUGACCUGUAGGAAUUCUUCAGUUCAGCGAUAUGAUGAACUUUUGUGCAACGGACCUGAUUGUGAGAUUCCACUUCAUUGAAAGGACGACCUUAGGACGGACCAUUAGAAAAGUGAUGGGGGGGGGGCAAAACCAAAAAAAAAAAUUAUUCCCAGGAAAAAAUUAGGGAAAAAAAUCUUCCCAGGCAUAGUGCAAAAAAAAUUCCUUUCCUGGAAGAUAGGCCUAUAAAUUUUAAUAAAAAAAAUAUAUUUCCAGCCAUCAAGUGAGAAAAAAAAAUUUCUAUAGGUGUACAAAAAAAAAAUCUUGCCUCUUAAAACAUCCCCCCCCCCAUCACUUUUCUAAUGGUCCGUCCCUUAGUUAAUUAAAUUUGCUGUAUACAUUAUGUCGCAACGUGUCACUAUUUAUAUAAUAAACUUAUGUACAAUUACAAAUCAAGCCCACAAAUCGUUGAAUAUACUCUUACCGCUCGUUGCAAAUCACGCAGGCGCCUAUUUAAAAAGCCCCAGCAACUUAACGCUCGAGAGAGCGUCUUGUUU